rnacentral:tRNA from 1 species
GCGCCCGUGGCUCAGCUGGAUAGAGCAUCGGUUUGCGGUACCGGAGGUCACAGGUUCGAAUCCUGUCGGGCGCACCA